UGGCUCAGGACGAACGCUGGCGGCGUGCUUAACACAUGCAAGUCGAACGAAGCGGCAGUGAAGGAGGCUUCGGCCAAUGGAUCUGUCGACUUAGUGGCGGACGGGUGAGUAACGCGUGAGCAACCUGCCUUUCAGAGGGGGAUAACGUUUGGAAACGAACGCUAAUACCGCAUAACGUAUAACCGCUGCAUGACGGAUAUACCAAAGGAGCAAUCCGCUGAAAGAUGGGCUCGCGUCCGAUUAGAUAGUUGGUGGGGUAACGGCCUACCAAGUCGACGAUCGGUAGCCGGACUGAGAGGUUGAACGGCCACAUUGGGACUGAGACACGGCCCAGACUCCUACGGGAGGCAGCAGUGGGGAAUAUUGCACAAUGGGCGCAAGCCUGAAUGCAGCAACGCCGCGUGAGGGAAGACGGUUUUCGGAUUGUAAACCUCUGUCCUUGGUGAAGAUAAUGACGGUAGCCGAGGAGGAAGCCACGGCUAACUACGUGCCAGCCGCUGC
rnacentral:rRNA from 1 species